UUAUCUUGAAAAUUAUUAUAGAUAGAAAUAAACUGUAAACAGCAAUAAUGUUCAGCAAAGUAAGAUUUACAAAUAAGUCAACAUGACCGAAAUGGUCAAUUGACCCCCUAAGGAGUUAUUGUCCUUUAUAGUCAAUUUUCAACAAUUUUUAUAAAAUUUGUAAAUUUUUACUAACAUUUUCCACUGAAACUACUGGGCCAAGUUCAUUAUAGAUAGAGAUAAUUGUAAGCUGCAAGGAUGUUCAGUAAAGUAAAAUGUACAAACACAUCACCAUCACCAAAAUACAAUUUUGUCAUGAAUCCAUCUGCUUCCUUUGUUUAAUAGUCACAUAGACCAAGGUGAGCGACACAGGCUCUUUAGAGCCUCUAGUUUUGUGUUUACAAGAAGAAAUGAUAGGUGUUGAUUCACUUGUAGCAGGUGUAUUCAAACAGUCGAAAAUAUUAACGGAACAUGGCUUUAAUUUAUGAAAAGUAUCUGAAUUUUUAAAGUAGUAAUUACCUUCUGGCUGAACGUACGUCAAAUCAGGGGUAUCCCGGAGGAUAUUCCGUGGAACACACAAAUCAAAUGCUACAGUGUUCCGUGUAGCAAAAGGGGACCUUGGUAACCCGG
rnacentral:lncRNA from 1 species